rnacentral:lncRNA from 1 species
UUGGAAUUUUUACUGUAACAUAGAAUAUAAGGGAAGUAGAAGCUGAGGGAAGAAGAAGAGGUCCCAGAGACUCCAGUCUGAUUCUCACACCUCUUGCUUUACAGUUGAGAAAACUGAAUCUCAGGGUUAGUUCCUUUUUGUGUCCCUGAAGGGUGAGCUGAUGAUCAGUCCACAGUACCUCUGUACCCGGAUGUAUGGAUGUAUUGUUUGCAUAGUUCAACUCAAGAAAUAGUGUUUUCUCUGUAGUUCUCAAAUUCAAUAAUGCCUAACUUACAAUAAUUAUCUGCUACUGACUAUCAGGGAAUCUAAGCACAUACAGCAGACGAAAGUUGAUGUUUGCAGUUUCAUAACAGGUAUAUUUAUAGAUAUCUGUUAUAAACAGUGCUAUUUAUGGACCCUCAGAAAGGCCUGACAAUCAAGGCUGGGGUGGGAUAGUUCUGCUGAAUUUCCUGGAGACCUCCAGCAUCUCAGGAUACAGAGUACUCCUUCUUCCAAGGCAGCGUCCUGGCCAUACGUUGUCAUCUGCACAGAGAUGGAGAGGCUCAGUACAGAAAGCCCAUUUCAUCAGCUGUUCUUGGCACAUGUCGCCCUCCAUAAAUAUUUAUUACACAAAUGAACCAAUGAAGACUGGAUAUGGGCAUUUUUCCA